GCCAGCACCAAUGCUCCCUGCCAAGCACUCCCAGUUUCUCUGGAGGCUAAGCAGGGUUGGCCUGGUCUGUCCUUAGAUCUGAGACCAGAUGGCGCUGGUA
rnacentral:rRNA from 10 species